ACUCUUGGCCAACCAAUUAUCGGUCGGUAAAAAUCCCCGACCAGCCACUCGUUGGUAGCUGGGCUGACGCGGGGAUGAAAUUUGAACUCCCCUCUCGGCCCAGACGCACGGAACAACAAUAGAAGCUGCUCAAUUUUAUCCACAGUCCAACCCUAAAUCCCCAAAAUCGAGCCUCUCCACCGCGCCCCGCCGCCGCCCAGUUCCCUGCGGCCUCCACGCCGGCUAUCCCUCACGCCCAUCAUCCAGCCCGUCCACCGCAGGCCGCGCCCACACCGUCCUGCCGCCGCACACCAUCCCUCCCAGUCGCUGGAACCAUGCUGCCUAGGUUCUCGCUCCGACCGGCGGCGGAGCUUUGCCUACCGCCCCUUUCGCGCCGGACCGCCGCGUUGCCGUCCAUACCUCCCCCAUGCACCUGACGGCCACGCUACCUCCCCCAUGCGCCUGAAGGCCACCCCCACGCAGGUACUCUCCUUGGCCGGCAACGGCGUGGUGAUUCCAGCGGCACCACUCUUCCUCCCUCCUCUACGCACCGAGGUGGAGGCAACAACGUGGGCAUCUUCUUUGUGAGCCCAUCUACUACCUCCAUGUGUUUUUGGUUAUGUUAUUAUUGUAGCAAGAGUUACUAUGGAAUCACUAGUAAUUAAGUGAUGAUUUUUGAAGGAGUUACUUACUUGAGUAUAUAUUUGAACUUAUUAAUUCAGAGAGAGUGGUUCUAGCAAUGUUUGAUUCAUGAGUGAUGCUUGACGUUUCAGAUUUACUAUGGUACAACACAGUAUUUAAUUUAGUAGUAGAUGCACUUAAUUAAGUUUCAGUUCCAGUUCCAGUAUUUUUGUUAAUGUGCUUUCUUCUCCACCAAAGUCUAUUGUAUACUUUUGUGUAUUUCCAGUUCCAGUUUCAGUUCCGGUUCCAGUCAUCCCGCCUGCAUACCGAGGUAUACUUGCCAUAGUGGUAGAUCAAUAUAACAUGCAAGCAUAUCAGUUUUCUUGCUGAAAUAAUUGAUGGAUGGAAUGCUGGCCUAAAAAUUGAUUUGGAAUGCAUAUUUCUGCAUGCUAUUCUGAAUGUCAUCAUUACUUCCAUGAUGUACCGAAUUUUUUGAUGUACUGAAUGCCUGCAUCCCUUAGAUGCAUUUGUUUGGCUAAGUCAUAUGCAUAAGAUUUAUUUUUUACCGGAAGUCAUAUGCAUAAGAUUAGUUUGGCUAAGUCAUAUGGAUAAGAUUAGUUGCUGCUCAGUUUUCAUUUGGCAUAUCCAUGGUGAAGACCCUGCUGAAAGGAGAACCAAGCACCCAUUUUCUACUAAUUAAUAUACUUGUCAGUAGCAGAGUUAGUCUCUGUAUGUAUUUGUACUGUUGGAUUUCUGCAGCUCCAAUGUUCUAUUUGUGUGUAUUUGUACUUGUAUUUUUGCUGGAGCAAUCAAUUUCCUGAAACAGUAGAAAGCAGUACAAGUUCAGUACUGUUUCUUAUGCCAGUUUGAAAGGAGUAAAAUAUUUAAAGUUCCUGGAUAAUUGAAUCUGUUAUAUUGAUAGUCUAAUAUAUGUUUGUUGUUUGUUGUGUAACCACUUUCAUGCACUUUGAUAGACUAAUGUAUCCAACUUUCAUGCAAUUUGCUUUGUGACCACUUAUCUCAAUUCCUUUAGUUCUGCUGGGUCUACUUGUUCUCUACAACUAGAAAAUGUGGUUAGUAGAAAAUGCACAGCUACUGUUCUGUACAAGUACAUUAAUUAGUAGGAAAAAAAUGAGAAUUCCAUCUUUUGAAAGUAAAAUAAUUAAGUAGAUCUGCUACUAUUAUGUUUUUUUGUUUGAUUUGUUAGUUAGUGUUGAUUAAUAUGCUUAUGUGCUAAUCAAUUAAUUUCCUCCAAACUUCUAACUUAAUAUCAGUUUUGUAGAUCCAACAGACUAGGAUUUAUGGAGACAUGUUUGCCUUUUGUAGGAAGGAAAAUACACAAGAGAACAUGGUAGCCGGUGGGUCACAUCAAGAUUGCACAAUGAAGGAAAUGCAUCGAUGUUGGAGAUGAACCUUUUAGCUAUCAUUUUGUAAAACUGGAUCAGUAUGAACUUAUUGUCUUUAGUUCUUAAUCUAUUUUGGUAGUAAUGAACUUAGACGAUGUUUCAUGCACAAUUUGUAAAUGUGAUGAAUUAAUGUAUCAUACUAUCGGUUGAUUUAAUAAUAUGCGUGUUGUUAA